GCCAGAGAUGUCCUCCUCCUUCCCCGCCCAGGGAGAGAGAACCACCUACCCAGAGCCAGAGAUGUCCUCCUCCUACCCAGCCCCUGCCCACCUACCCAGAGCCAGAGAUGUCCUCCUUCCAGCCCCAGGGAGAGAGAACCAUCUACCCAGAGUGUCCUCUCCUUCCCAGCCCCAGGGAGAGAGACCACCUACCCAAAGUGUCCUCCUCCUUCCCAGCCCCAUGGAGAGAACCACCUACCCAGAGCCAGAGAUGUCCUCCUCCUUCCCAGCCCCAGGGAGAGAGAACCACCUACCCAGAGAUGUCCUCCUCCUUCCCAGCCCCAGGGAAAGAGAACCACCUACCCAGACGCAGAGAUGUCCUCCUCCUACCCAGCCCACCUACCCAGAGCCAGCGAUGUCCUCCUCCUUCCCAGCCCCAGGGAAAGAGAACCACCUACCCAGAGCCAGGAUGUCCUCCUCCUACCCAGCCCCACCUACCCAGAGCCAGAGAUGUCCUCCUCCUUCCCAGUCCUAGGGGAGAGAACCACCUACCCAAGAUGUCCUCCUCCUUCCCAGUCCCAGGCAGAGCGAACCACCUACCCAGAGAUGUCCUCCUCCUUCCCAGUCCCAGGGAGAGAGAACCACCUACCCCGUGA
rnacentral:lncRNA from 1 species